rnacentral:rRNA from 1 species
UGGCGGACGGGUGAGUAAUGUCUGGGAAACUGCCCGAUGGAGGGGGAUAACUACUGGAAACGGUAGCUAAUACCGCAUAACGUCGCAAGACCAAAGAGGGGACCUCGGGCCUCUUGCCAUCGGAUGUGCCCAGAUGGGAUUAGCUAGUAGGUGGGGUAACGGCUCACCUAGGCGACGAUCCCUAGCUGGUCUGAGAGGAUGACCAGCCACACUGGAACUGAGACACGGUCCAG